rnacentral:rRNA from 1 species
UACAGAGGGUGCAAGCGUUGUUCGGAAUUAUUGGGCGUAAAGGGCGCGUAGGCGGUGCGGUAAGUCUGUAGUGAAAUCUCUGGGCUCAACUCAGAGUCUGCUGCAGAAACUGCCGUGCUUGAGUGUGGGAGAGGUGAGUGGAAUUCCCGGUGUAGCGGUGAAAUGCGUAGAUAUCUGGAGGAACACCGGUGGCGAAGGCGGCAUCCUGGACCGGCAUUGACGCUGAGGAGCGAAAGCCAGGGGAGCAAACGGG